rnacentral:rRNA from 1 species
GCGGCGGACGGGUGAGUAACGCGUGGGUAACCUACCCUGUACACACGGAUAACAUACCGAAAGGUAUGCUAAUACGGGAUAAUAUAUUUGAGAGGCAUCUCUUGAAUAUCAAAGGUGAGCCAGUACAGGAUGGACCCGCGUCUGAUUAGCUAGUUGGUAAGGUAACGGCUUACCAAGGCGACGAUCAGUAGCCGACCUGAGAGGGUGAUCGGCCACAUUGGAACUGAGACACGGUCCAAACUCCUACGGGAGGCAGCAGUGGGGAAUAUUGCACAAUGGGCGAAAGCCUGAUGCAGCAACGCCGCGUGAGUGAUGAAGGCCUUCGGGUCGUAAAACUCUGUCCUCAAGGAAGAUAAUGACGGUACUUGAGGAGGAAGCCCCGGCUAACUACGUGCCAGCAGCCGCGGUAAUACGUAGGGGGCUAGCGUUAUCCGGAUUUACUGGGCGUAAAGGGUGCGUAGGCGGUCUUUCAAGUCAGGAGUGAAAGGCUACGGCUCAACCGUAGUAAGCUCUUGAAACUGGGAGACUUGAGUGCAGGAGAGGAGAGUGGAAUUCCUAGUGUAGCGGUGAAAUGCGUAGAUAUUAGGAGGAACACCAGUUGCGAAGGCGGCUCUCUGGACUGUAACUGACGCUGAGGCACGAAAGCGUGGGGAGCAAACAGGAUUAGAUACCCUGGUAGUCCACGCUGUAAACGAUGAGUACUAGGUGUCGGGGGUUACCCCCUUCGGUGCCGCAGCUAACGCAUUAAGUACUCC